ACCAGACUAGUUCGAGGGGCUCAGACGUUCCUUUGUUUUUGCAGCCUUGAUGAGUUAUGAUCGUCUCCAUCUCUCUCUUCUUCAAACUUGUUCCUCUCUCUCUCUCUCUGACUUAUCACCAAAUUAGUCCAAACACGAAAUCCACCACUGCCUCUUUCUUCAAUCCAUAGUUUUUCUUUUGUUUUUGUUUCCUAGUCCUCUUCUAUUUGGUUGCUGCUGCCUUGCCUAGGGUUUCUCCCAAUUAAUUGUUCUGGGCGGAUGGAUUGGAGCAACGUCACUGCUGAGGAUCUGGUGGAGGCGCUGCGAGAAGUCGACUGGUCGUCCCCGCCGCGUCCAUUCUCGGAGUUCUUCUCCCGAUUCUCUCUUCCGCGCUCUUAUGCCAAAUGGAACAGUCGCCUCAAAUGCAACCUCUACUAUUACCGGACCAAUUAUUUCAUCAUGAUUGUUUUCAUUCUUGGGAUGGGGUUUCUUAGGAGGCCGCUAGCAAUUGUUGCAGCUCUAAUGGCAGCUCUGAGCAUUGCUUUCCUAAAUGAUAGCUUUGCAGGCACUUUUAAUGAGAAAGUCACAAGAACCGUUCGUCAAUUUUCACCACAUCUAGCUGCCAAAAUGAGGCCUCCCCUUACGCCUGUUAUUCGUGGGCGCCCAUCGUCUAGACGAUCCAUACAUAUAUGUGGAUGGCCACGCUGGAUAUUUUCCUUGGCAUUUUCCAUAGUGAGCUGCAUCCUUUGGUUUAUCUCUUGUGGCAUUGUUACUGUCUUGUGGGCAUUCACUGUUGGUCUACUUGCCACCCUCAUUCAUGCUAGCUUUAGAACGCCAAACCUGAAAGCUCGGCUGAAUACAUUCCGUGAAGAAUUCCGCGCAGUUUGGCGCAAUUAUAGUGAGCUGUAGCUUGUGGUAGCUGAGCACAUGGUAGCUUGGGAAUUGGGAUAAUUAUAUUCUGCAUACUUGUCCCAGCCAACUUCCCAUUCUACUUGUGGGAUUGGUGUGCUUAUGAAGAUGGUGUGUUAUGUUCUCUGGCUCAUUUCUGCGUGGCUGUCAAUUCUCAUGGAGCAUGUUCUGCAAAGAUUACAGAUAGAACAUUGUAAAGCUGUUGGAUUCCAUAUGAUUUAGUAUUGAGAAAUCUUUGGAAUUUAUAUUCAAAGAUUUCUUCUUGUGUUGUAUAGAAGUCCACCUCUUAUCAGUUUAGUGCCGUGUAUAAAGUAAUAGCAACCUUUACCUAAAUUGUGUUAGAAACGUGUAUUUUUGGGAUGUUUUUUGUGGUGUAUUAUUGCUAACUGAAUUUGUUAGUUUUUCUUGCUUA